GACGAACGCUGGCGGCGUGCUUAACACAUGCAAGUCGAACGGAAAGGCCCUGCUUUUGUGGGGUGCUCGAUUGGCGAACGGGUGAGUAACACGUGAGUAACCUGCCCUUGACUUUGGGAUAACUUCAGGAAACUGGGGCUAAUACCGGGUAGGAGCUCCUGCUGCAUGGUGGGGGUUGGAAAGUUUCGGCGGUUGGGGCUGGACUCGCGGCUUAUCAGCUUGUUGGUGGGGUAGUGGCUUACCAAGGCUUUGACGGGUAGCCGGCCUGAGAGGGUGACCGGCCACAUUGGGACUGAGAUACGGCCCAGACUCCUACGGGAGGCAGCAGUGGGGAAUCUUGCACAACGGGCGGAAGCCUGAUGCAGCAACGCCGCGUGCGGGAUGACGGCCUUCGGGUUGUAAACCGCUUUCGCCUGUGACGAAGCGUGAGUGACGGUAAUGGGUAAAGAAGCACCGGCUAACUACGUG
rnacentral:rRNA from 1 species